GCAUCGAUGAAGAACGCAGCGAAAUGCGAUACGUAAUGUGAAUUGCAGGUUUUCGUGAAUCAUCGAAUCUUUGAACGCAUAUUGCGCUCUCUGGCAUUCCAGAGAGCAUGCCUGUUUGAGCGUCAUUUCUCUCUCAAGAUCCUCUAGGGGACUUGGUAUUGAGUGAUACUCUGUGUUAACUUGAAAUACUCUAGGCAGAGCUCCCCCUAGAAAUCCUCUGGGCCGAAAUAAUGUAUUAGGUUCUACCAACUCGUUAUUUUCCAGACAGACUUCCAGGCAGAGCUCGGCUGAACAACCUUUCUAAGCUUGACCUCAAAUCAGGUAGGACUACCCGCUGAACUUAAGCAUAUCAAUAAGCGGAGGA
rnacentral:rRNA from 1 species